rnacentral:tRNA from 1 species
GCCUCGGUAGCUCAGCCUGGUAGAGGUUGUGACGCCAUAAGCGAGUGCCUUGUAAGCACUAGGUCGCGGGAUCGAGGCCCGCCCGAGGCU